AUCGCUUCUCAGCCUUUUGGCUAAGAUCAAGUGUAGUAUCUGUUAUUAUCAGUGGUUUAGUCUCUCCCACUCAUGUAGGAUGGAUGCUGCAUGGAGGGGGCAGAUGUACCAGGACAUUCCAGGGCUGGUUCUGAGGAAUCAGCUCAAUGGCUGCCCCGAUGUGGCCUGUUUCAUCCGGGUCUAGUCAUGAGGCU